UACGUAGGGGGCUAGCGUUGUCCGGAUUUAUUGGGCGUAAAGAGCGUGUAGGCGGCCAGGUAGGUCUGGUGUGAAAACUCGAGGCUUAACCUCGAGAUGUCAUCGGAAACCAUCUGGCUAGGGUCCGGAAGAGGAGAGUGGAAUUCCUGGUGUAGCGGUGAAAUGCGCAGAUAUCAGGAAGAACACCAAUGGCGAAAGCAGCUCUCUGGGACGGUGCUGACGCUGAGACGCGAAAGCGUGGGGAGCGAACAGG
rnacentral:rRNA from 1 species